CGACAUUUCUGCAUGUAAAUUCACAUGAGAGUGACACACGUAAAGGGGGAGGGUUAGAAAAUGUGGUCCGAAGAAGAUAAACUAGACAGAAUUACCAAGAGGUGUGGAAAGCCAGGUUAAAGCAUUCAUAAUCUGCAAAGUAGAGCCUUGGGCUGCUAGGCCUGUAAAUUGGCGUGAAUAGAGAAGGUUGCGUGUUUACAAAGCUUGUCCCCAGACUCCAAGCUGUGGAAAAGGCAUCAUCCGAGGAGGAGAGUAAACAGGAUUAGAAGUUAGAGGAAAGAUGGGCCAUUACCUCACCUGUCAGCUGAACAGAAGGGAACGGCUCACAGAGACUCUAUACUUUUGACAUGAUGGUGAAUAUUAAGAACAGGCGCACGAAACCUGAUCAAACAACAUAGACUAACGGACCUUGUCGCCUACGGCUUAUCUCGCAGGCGUUCUCCCACUCAGUCCAACUUGAUCCACUCGACUCUGCCCUGUAGAGAAAGUUUCCCAGCGUCAACGCAAACAGAACAGUCCUGAGGAGCUUCAUUAACUCCAACAUAUGGAGGCUGGAAAAAUUUCCACUUGGCUCAAUUUGUAGAAGUCUGUGAUGGAUGGAAUGAAUUUUUACUAUAAAGUGCAAGUGUGUAAAUGCUGAUCCAAUCUUGUGUGAAAUCAGUGUGCCAAACAUCAGAUGCGAACACAAUUCUCCUGCACUGUCGUUCAAAACAAAAAUGGACAUUUUUCUGUGCAGUUAUAUUGAGGUACUUUUUUUUUUCGCUCAUUUCUUUGUUUUUGUCAUUCUAUGAUCAUUCAUUCAAUUGUUUGUUCCAUCAUCAUUAAUUGGUUCUGUCUGUUGUUUUAUGUAUUGUUCAUACUAUCGUUUGUUCUAACUUUUCUAUCAUUUGCUCUAUAUAUUGUUCUGUCUGUCUGUAUUAAAAAUUAAUUAACACCUUAAUUAAAUAAA
ensembl:lncRNA